rnacentral:rRNA from 1 species
UGGGGAAUUUUGGACAAUGGGGGAAACCCUGAUCCAGCCAUCCCGCGUGUGCGAUGAAGGCCUUCGGGUUGUAAAGCACUUUUGGCAGGAAAGAAACGUCGCGGGUUAAUACCCCGCGGAACUGACGGUACCUGCAGAAUAAGCACCGGCUAACUACGUGCCAGCAGCCGCGGUAAUACGUAGGGUGCAAGCGUUAAUCGGAAUUACUGGGCGUAAAGCGUGCGCAGGCGGUUCGGAAAGAAAGAUGUGAAAUCCCAGAGCUUAACUUUGGAACUGCAUUUUUAACUACCGGCUAGAGUGUGUCAGAGGGAGGUGGAAUUCCGCGUGUAGCAGUGAAAUGCGUAGAUAUGCGGAGGAACACCGAUGGCGAAGGCAGCCUCCUGGGAUAACGACUGACGCUCAUGCAC